UAGAAUAAUCAUCUGGAUGCUAUAGGUACCACUGCUAGUUUUACUCUUUGCUCAUGUGGGAGAAUACCGAGGCUCAUUAAGUCGGGCUUGGUCCGUCUAGUGUGCAUCCGCACCACCAUAUAUACACCGCCUUAUUGUUGUUUUGUUACAGCAUGGCGUCAUUUGUGUACACACACUCAUGUCAGUCCCUCGCACAGCUAUAGAGAUUUUUUUUUGUUUCCACCUGUCCAACUAUGACGACUGCGCACAGGAAUGUCAAUCUCGUGGCAUUGUGUCGAUUUAGACGAAAUGUACAAAAAGAGUAAAAAAGUAAAAAAAAAGCGUCGAACUGCUACUGUCGUGGCGACGAGUUGGUUGCGUGAUCCUGAUGUCUAUUUAGGAAAAUAAUUCUCACUCCGCAAAGAGAGAGAGAGAGAGAGAGAUCCGUGUCACGCAAUCAUUUGUUAUUUUCACCCCCACCAUCUGCCGAUUGAUUAGAAUCUCCUCGCGAUUUCAUUUAGGUAUUUUUUUAUUAUCGCUCUCUACCUGUGUUUACCUGUACGCUAGCGAUCCUGCUGCUGUUUGGCUCUUCGAUCGUGACCGUUAUAUUCUUCACGGCAGAGAUAACACGUUGAAAUAUUCAUACGCGUACGAUAAUAACAAUAAAUGAUAAAACAUUUUCCGUGGCAACUUUGUGCAAACAAACAGGAAAUCGCACACAUCACAGAGGGGUGAUGUCAGCUAUCGCUUUUAAAGGAGGAUCCGCACCGUAUCAUUAUUAUCUGUUUCGGUUGUUAUGUUGUUGAAACCCCGCCUGUUUCGUUACGGAUCAUGCUGCCAUCAUUCACUAUGUACGAGCUUUCGACCCAGCAACGGAUCGAAACUAUUUGAUUCAAUCAUCUUACAUAUUGCACAGCAUCAGCAGGAAUAGAACGAGGCUCUGUAUUGGAUCGUGUUCCCAUGACAACCUCCACUUAACAACACGUCCGUUUCCGGACAGUGCUGCUGCUGUGUACUUUACACACAAAGAUUUCGGUGCCAUAUCCUGGAACGGCUCAACAGAAUGCUAUUCAUCUAAUUAUAUUCACUACUUCCUCUUAUCCGAUUUAAAUGCGGCGAGAGCUGCGUGCUCAUCAGACUUGAACGUAUUUUACUUUUUUUUUAUUUGUUUGUUUUGUGAUCGUCUUUGUGCUGAUGGCGAUACACCAACGCUCACACAAUGGCGAGAGUUCAAAAAAGAAGAAGCCGGUAAUUGACUAGCUCGACGUGAAAGCAAAAAAAAAUAAGACUUACGUGAUCGAAGAGUUGGCCGCUAUCUUCUUCUUCUUCUUUCUCCCUUUUUCGCCGUAACGAUCCGCAGGCACGGAAUCACCCAAGACGGAAUUCCGGAACCGAUAUACUCUAUGUAAUAUAUUCCAAAUGCAAAGGCGAUGCUUUGGCCUGACCGAACCAACCCACACACACACGUACACACAACAAAAAGAAAGUCAAUAUCCAACGCGACACGACGGAUUGUUUUGUUGUUGGUCUGCACGUCUUUCUCGCUCACGAAUUCUCUUUGAUCUAUUACACGCUAACGUGUUUUGAUGGUCGUGCACGAAACGGAGAAAAACUUGCAAAUGGGGAGAAAAAAAAUGCCGGGUCAGCCUGUAUGUGUGUGUGUGUGUGUAUGUGUCAGUGUGGCUGACGAUAGGUAAUUAACUUGGUCUCACGCUGAUACAGGGCAGUGCUCGACUGUGCGUUCGACUAGUUGACAUGAAAGUGUAAUCGUUGCCAGUGCGCGCGCUGCGGGAAUAGAACGGAUCGCGCGCUCGGUCAGCGUGACUGUCCGCGGUACAUCAUCGGGAAAAUGAGUUAUUUUUAAUUAUGGUGAAUCCCGUCCCCUCGCGACCGUCGCCAUCUGCUGUGCAUUUUUAAAUGAGUUGGAAUAUUCGCCGUGUGUGUGUUGCGCUUCAACAAGAAGAUAAAUCAAUUUCGUCGUGUGGAUUUCAAAAGGAGAAACUUGAGCCGGCUGGAAUUUGAUCGGUCAAAUAAUUCCUUUGAAUGCAAUCGAGUUGUGAAACUUGAGCCCUUGAAUGCGAUAAGCGGUGAUGAACGAUGUCAAAUUCUCAACAGGUUUUUCUUCUUCUUCAAGCUCAGAGGAAGACAUCACGAUGAAGGACGAGGGGCUAGCACGUUAUGCAGAGGGCUUUUGUCACGUCAACAUAAUCUUCGGGCCAUUGUUCUUCGACGCACACCAAGUUUUAAAUCACCUCACAGAAGCUCGACUUCCAAGCCUGGCUUCAACAAUGUUUGAAAAUUCUCGGCACCUUAGCGGUUAUUUGAACACCUGCCGUGUGCAACUGAUUCAAAUCAGCGCAGGACGACAUCUACCAGAAAAACAAAUCAGUGCUGGACGACAUCUACCCGAAAAAUGGAGAGUUACGCUUGGCUCUUGGUUACGUAAAGCCCUCCUACGUUGAUGUGAAAUCCUGACAUCAAUAAGACGUCCGCGAAAACAAGACCACUCUCGCCCCUUCGGCGCUUUCCGAUGCAAUUAUUAAAUAAGGUCAUUUCUUUGAUGAGUCGCUCAGAAGUGCCUUAACUGAAACAAGGCAAAAAUCAGAAAAAUGACACUAAAUAACCGAGAAAUGAAGGUGACAUCUUAUUUGAACGGAUUUGUCAGAAUUAUGUCGUUGUAUAGCCUACUCACAGAUGGCGUUUAGACAUCAGAGGCUAGAGCUGCAUUGGAGUGAAAAUCAAAGACUGCCAAAAUUUCGUUACGAUUCGAGAAAUAAUUCAGUAGGAGCUAGGACCCUUUACUGAGUUUAUUCUACUCAUAACCUCUACUCAAAUCCUCAUAUCGUAUAAAAUUUAUUCAAUAUGCGACAAACCAAUAGUCAGAGAGUAAGAGUUACUGCGGUUUAUGCAAUUUUAUCAGAAUACGUGCUUUUUAAGCCCAACGAAACACCACCACCUGGUGGCAGGAACAUUUAUUACUGGUGAUCCUUUGUGUAAUGCCCCAACCCCCUAAUAACACAUCUCAGCUCCAAGCCGAUCCCUGACGAUGCACCUUUGUUGAAGCCCCAAUGAUGUCUGCUCUACAUUGUAGGAAUAGGAUCCUUUCCUACAAGAAGAAAAGAAGCUGAACUGAACAAAUUCGGCUCGCGAUGCAUCGAUGUCUGGUAGUGAGAAACGAAUGGGUCUAUCUGUUGAACGAUAAUAACCAAAACGGACCUAGAGGAUCUUAUGGGCGAAAGUAACUACCGGUAUAAAGAAAAAAUGUGAAAGGUGCAUGAAGCCAGUACCGUCAACUAUUGUGUUAAAAAUCCUGGUAUCCUACAGAAUAUGUCAUCCAAAUGACCAAAUGACAGAGUGGAUUCAUCACUAUUAUUGGCUGAAUCAUUCUAUGGGACUUGCCAGAUCACCAACCUCCAAAGCAUGGACCAAUUUCUCAUUCCAUCUUCUAGAGAACCUUACAUAACCGAUUGGUGGUUUAGUGUGCAAGUUUACUUGUCAUGUCACUGAACUUAUUUUGUUGCAGUCUUAUAGAUCAUAGACAUCAAGCACAUUGAUGCCACAAAUUAUAGACAAGACUUUAUGAGAAGUCAUGUUGUUUGAAGAAAAAGGACUAUACAGUCGACAAGGUUCUUUGCUAACCCGUUGGCUGCUACCCUUGAAUCUCCCUGUUUACUUCCUUACACGGGUCCUCUUGAUUUGAGGGUAAUCCUUCGCUACUGAUCAUACACCCACUUGUGAAAACCGACGAGAGAAUGCUGUAAUCC